GGUGCUGGCAGCCCCGCUGGUGGCGAGGGUGAUGUUCUGAUUUUCCUCCGACCCACGGGGCCGGAGGAAACGGUAA
rnacentral:tRNA from 1 species